rnacentral:rRNA from 2 species
AGACCCGAAACCCGGUGAUCUAGCCAUGGGCAGGUUGAAGGUUGGGUAACACUAACUGGAGGACCGAACCGACUAAUGUUGAAAAAUUAGCGGAUGACCUGUGGCUGGGGGUGAAAGGCCAAUCAAACCGGGAGAUAGCUGGUUCUCCCCGAAAGCUAUUUAGGUAGCGCCUCGUGAAUUCAUCUCCGGGGGUAGAGCACUGUUUCGGCUAGGGGGCCAUCCCGGCUUACCAACCCGAUGCAAACUGCGAAUACCGGAGAAUGUUAUCACGGGAGACACACGGCGGGUGCUAACGUCCGUCGUGAAGAGGGAAACAACCCAGACCGCCAGCUAAGGUCCCAAAGUCAUGGUUAAGUGGGAAACGAUGUGGGAAGGCCCAGACAGCCAGGAUGUUGGCUUAGAAGCAGCCAUCAUUUAAAGAAAGCGUAAUAGCUCACUGGUCGAGUCGGCCUGCGCGGAAGAUGUAACGGGGCUAAACCAUGCACCGAAGCUGCGGCAGCGACACUCAGGUGUUGUUGGGUAGGGGAGCGUUCUGUAAGUCUGCGAAGGUGGCCUGUGAGGGUUGCUGGAGGUAUCAGAAGUGCGAAUGCUGACAUAAGUAACGAUAAAGCGGGUGAAAAGCCCGCUCGCCGGAAGACCAAGGGUUCCUGUCCAACGUUAAUCGGGGCAG